AUGAAUGCUUAGCACCAGUCCGCCAUUUCCUUUCAGUGACAGGAUAUUCAAUGUUGGUAGUGCUGAAAGUGAUGGUAUAACGUUAAUUAAUUUACGUCGAGUUUGGUGGAAAGUAAUCUGUGCGUUAUUGUUGCAAAAAGUAUGUAUAAGUGUAGUGGAAUGAUACUAUCGUAAUGGAAGGAAGAUCAAAUUCCAAUAUUUAAGAUGGGUUGGGACAUGAAGAGGUAUUGUUACCAAACUGCUGUCUAGGUGUGCUCAGUGAUUUGAGCUAUUUGGAAAUAUUGAUAUGACAGCAGUCUCAGCCUUCAAGGUUCGGAAGUAUUAACUGAGGGAGGGAGGAGUGAUAGUACUUCUCAUUCUGAAUUGAAGAUUGUGGAGUCAUUUUGAAGAUAUACUGUACUGUACUGAGCGUUAUACUUCUGUAUAGUAGAGACCCUAACUGGACAGAAUGCAGGCUUGGAAUCAGUGGAAUAGUCAGGCUGCAGCAUCAGGCUUUGCUAUGGCAGGGUAUCCAUCCACUGCAACUGUACCCCCUCCAACAGCAGCUGCUGCGCCACAAACGGCGUAUCCAGUAGGCUAUCAGUAUUAUGGAACUGGACCAGGAUUGUCAUCUGUCACUCCAGACAUGUCUGGUUGCACUCAGCAGGAGUGGACUAUAGUCCAGCAACAGCAUUGGCAGCAGUGGCAACAGUGG